UAUAGUUGAGGAGCUCAUGCCCCCAAAAAAAAGUAUCAUCAUUUAUCGGCUAGUAUUGGACGACCAAUGCCACGCCAACCAAUAUGAUGUGACAAUGAUCAUUCAUCAGCACAUUUGGGCGUCUCGGACUACCAA
ensembl:ncRNA C15B12.13 ncRNA